rnacentral:rRNA from 1 species
UUAAAAAGCUCGUAGUUGAACCUUGGGCCUGGCUGGCCGGUCCGCCUCACCGCGUGUACUGGUCCGGCCGGGCCUUUCCCUCUGUGGAACCCCAUGCCCUUCACUGGGUGUGGCGGGGAAACAGGACUUUUACUGUGAAAAAAUUAGAGUGCUCCAGGCAGGCCUAUGCUCGAAUACAUUAGCAUGGAAUAAUAGAAUAGGACGUGUGGUUCUAUUUUGUUGGUUUCUAGGACCGCCGUAAUGAUUAAUAGGAACAGUCGGGGG